UCCAUCCCUGCCAAAGAAGUACAGACUUUCUUCGGUAAGCUGACCCUUAAAACUAGAACUUAAGUAGUUUUAGAUUUCGCUGUAAGCUAAACUUAACUAGUGGCAACACUGAUAAAUGGUGGUUUUGUUACUUGCAUUAAAAUGACGUACCAGAUAAAUCCGCAGAACAACUAAUGAUACAAGAAAAAGUGUCCCCGUUCCUGCAGCUAGUAAAAAUCGUAAAGGAUCCUGCAUAUGAAAGCCAGUGUUAUCUAGGAAUUUGGACAAGAUUAGAAAUACUUAUCAUCUAAAAUCUGUUUAUCAUUAUGAAUAUGAAAACAAUUGGGUUACAGACCAGUGGCCACGUGCCCCCCUAAAAAGCAGUUUGGUGCUGAAAUAGGCGGGGGUUCGAAUCUUCGUUCCCCAACUAAGGUUUCUGGGGUCUCACCGCUAGUCAGUGUUGCAGGAUCGCUAGACUGGAAGGAAAAAUUCCUUCCCGGGAUUAAGGGGUUCCCAGGCAUUUACCCUCCUAUGAAUAUGAACUUGAACAUGAACAUGAAGAUGAAGUAGGUAUUAUAUUAUUGACUAAUUAUCUUCCUUUGCAUUUUUUAUGUUUCAAGAUUCCCAAUAUAUGUGUGGACACUACAUCUAGGUUCUGGAAUAUGGUAAGAACUGUUCGAGAUACUUCGUUUAGUAGACGGACUCUUCUAAGUAAUAUAUGCCGGAUGAGUAAAAUGGUAUACAUUAAUUGAAGCGCUGUCACACUGCUACUCGGAUAAUAUUUCUAUAUAUCAAGAAAUGGCAUGAAUCUUACACUUGAAGGAUUGAAGCUGGCAGCUGAUAUUGGCACUCCAAGAACAGUAAAUGUCACCAACCAAAGCCCUCCAAGCCGCAGGAAAAAGGAUGGCGGUUUCAGUUCGCCCCAUGAGUAUAAUGGUCCUUCCUUUAAAGAUGAGUACUCAUUUACCUAGUUCAUAUUCAUAAACAUCAUCUACAUGCAGGCAUAAUACUCCAUCAAUAUAUCACUUACAAUAGUUUCUUAUCAUG